CACAGACCAGAUUCCGAAUCACAAACUGAAAUAGAUAUGCUCGUAUUUGCUUUGUGAAUUGGUUCCAUUUUAUCUUGGAGUUUGGAAAUUCAACCCAUCUCCUGAUCAGCAGUCCCAAUCUAAAUUAAGCUCUAAGUUUAUUUAAACUAAACAAAAUUAUACCUAGUAGCACAAGAGAUUAAUUGGCACAUAAAGCUAUCCAUCUUUCUUCUUGUUAGGAUAAGGAGAGCCAGCUGUAUUCUCAAAAUAAAACACGCCUUCAUCAUCUUUCAAACUCCAUGGUUCUAUAUGUCAUCCAUUAUAAUUUUAUGUGUUUGAUUUAGGGUAAGAAUUAUGUCGGUAAAUACUGAAGAAUGUCUGUAUUUCAGCAAAUGAACAAAUGUGAAAAUCAUGAAAUCAUGUCCAAGCCAAAUUUGUAUUUAGUUUUUGACUACCUAAUCACAAUGGCAUUACUGAAGUUUUGAAAACAGUUCAAGACAUUUAAAGACUUAAGAUCAUUUUAAAAUAUUGCAAUUCUAGCAC